CUGCUUUCAAUUUCCCCCUCACGCUCGCUCACACUUCCGCACGCGCUAUCUCUCUUUGCUUUCUUCAGCGCUUCAACUCGCCGCUCCCUUUAGCGACCAAAUGUUUUCAAACCUGAGAGGACUUGACGUUAAGAGGAAGCUAAUGUGUCAUCUGGCCAAGACAUCUGAACGACAGACCCAAAUCACACCUGCUCUGCUCACGGCCUGCUCUCCUUCACUGAGAAUAGAUGAAGCAGCAAGACCACGCCGCAGGCAGGCGGUGGAAACGCGUUCACAAGGUCAUACAUCACGAAUGUGACAACAGCGGAGCAGCUCUGGACAAAUGAGAGCGGGGAGAAAGAUGGAGGGAUAAUCUCAAGGACAUCAGAGAGCCUGGACGUGGAUGGAGGCAAGAAAGGAGAAGGUUAAAGGGUUGUGGAUGGGAGUUCAGCCAAACAGAUAGUGGUGGUAGGCUGUCAGCUCCCAUUAUCCAUUCAGGCCCUAAUAUUAAAAACCCAGAGAGAGUGAGGUUAGAUGAGGAAAGACGUGCGAGCCACAGGCGCUUCACCUUGCCUUGUUCCUCUGCGCCGUUGUGCACACAUAUGACUGUUUUUUUAAUGUAAUGUAGUGGUGGCAGCAGACGCCUUGGCAACCUGGCAGCCCUCACAUCUGCUGUCUGACUGGCAGCCACUUAGAGACUCCACGAGUGUGUGUGUGUGUGUGUGUGUGUGUGUGUGUGUGUGUGAGUGAGUGAAAGCAAGCCCUUAAACCUGUAGCACACUAGUGUGUGCCAUCAUAUGCGCUAGUUCAGAAAUCUUCUUCUGGAGUUCGUGUCAGUUACAGCUGACUCAGUUGAGUGGUCUGCACUUCUUGCGCUGCUGUUGCAAUACCGAAGGGGACGAUAGUGCUGCCUUUAUAUAUCCAUAGCAAAUUAUUUGGGUAGCUAUUUUGAAACAUUUUGACUUUACGCAAAUGUGUCCCGUGGCAACACUGAUAGCACAACAUGCACAUUUGCGUGAUGAAUGGUGCUCUGACAAAUUUUAAAACUAUCAACACAAUAUUUUAAAUAUCGACGUGUGAAAAUGAAUGUGCAGUUUGAAGCAUCUUCAUUCACAUACUUACGAAGAAUACUUUUAAUUCCUUACUCAUGACAAGACAAAAUAUCAGUAACUGGAUUACUACCAUUAAAAGUUUUCGAGUAUUCACUAAGUAUAACUACCCCAUAUAAGUUUGUCCGGUUGACGGACGCCUUAAUUUAAAUUUUGAUGCGCAUAAAAUGACAUUUGCAGAAGUUUCUCAUGUACAUGCGAAAAUGUCCCCAUACACACAAAUUUCUUUUUAAUGUGAUUUUUUUUUUCUGCAAAAUAUGACUAUGCAAAUGUAUGCUAUAGUGCCCCCAGUGGCAACACUGAGAAUGCAACAUACGGUGACCAAUGAGUUGCUCUCUUUUUGUUUUAGACAUAUUCUAAAACAUUGAUGUGCGAAAAUAAAUCUGUGAAUGUCUUCA
ensembl:lncRNA